rnacentral:rRNA from 1 species
CCUACGGGAGGCACCAGUGGGGAAUAUUGCACAAUGGCGCAAGCCUGAUGCAGCCAUGCCGCGUGUAUGAAGAAGGCCUUCGGGUUGUAAAGUACUUUCAGCGGGGAGGAAGGCGAUAAGGUAAUAACCUUGUCGAUUGACGUUACCCGCAGAAGAAGCACCGGCUAACUCCGUGCCAGCAGCCGCGGCAAUACGGCGGGUGCAAGCGUUAAUCGGAAUUACUGGGCGUAAAACGCACGCAGGCGGUCUGUCAAGUCGGAUGUGAAAUCCCCGGGCUCAACCUGGGAACUGCAUUCGAAACUGGCAGGCUAGAGUCUUGUAGAGGGGGGUAGAAUUCCAGGUGUAGCGGUGAAAUGCGUAGAGAUCUGGAGGAAUACCGGUGGCGAAGGCGGCCCCCUGGACAAAGACUGACGCUCAGGUGCGAAAGCGUGGGGAGCAAACAGGAUUAGAUACCCGGGUAGUC